CUGAGUUUAUUUUUUAUGUUUGUAAUACUCUGUAAUAUUUAGAAAGUUCUUACAAGACCAGUAUAUUUAUUAACCAGAUAAAUUUUGUAUUAUACAAUUCUAUAAAUAAUUCGGAAUCAAUUAACUUUUAACAAUAAUAAAAUCCUAUAUAUUUUUUCAAUAUUAGAUAAACAUUAACAAGUUAAUUAUCUCCUUCAGCAAAUAUUGAUGUAGUUGGGUCAUUAUAUUGACUGCUAAGAGAAAGCUUGGUUUCAUAAAUCUGACAAAAGUUAAAGCUUAGUAUGUUUUAUUUUUGCAAAUAAUUGGUUUGUAGACAAUUGGUGCUUCAUAUUUGAUGAAUAAAUGAAAUUAGGUUACAAUAAAGCAGAGCUGUCAAUAUUUUCCCCAUAAUAUGGCGUUCAGAAAAUCUGUAAAUGUACAUAAAAUUUUGGAAAUGCAAAUGCCUUGUUUCCCUGCCUCUCUUGAAAUAUGCUGACCUUGGCUAAAAGACAACAAAUACCAUUAAAAAGUACAAGGCCUGUGAGAUAAUCGUAUAUAUUUUUCCAAGAACAAACCAGUCAGAUUUGUUUUCUCUCCCCAUUUUGCUUAUCAUUACAGCCUCACAGUCUACCUAAACACCUCUGGAGGGAGCUCUGUACCUUUUAGGACAUUAUCGUUUGAAGACAAUCUGUAACUUGGCUACAGUCUUGAGUAGCAAGAUGCUACAACCCUGAAAAGGUCAAAGAUGCUGUUCCUCUGGUUUACUUAUAGAUAGGACAACUUGUUUACAGCAAUUAAAAAAUCCAAAAUAAGCUAAUCAUAAGCUAGUAAUUUCCACUGUUGUGCCUUAAGGUUCAUAGUUAAGCAUGUAUAAAGCUUUGAUGACAAUUGCAAAGAAGCUGUGUUUGUGAAAGUUUACUGAAGUGCCAGGAGAGCUGCACAUAACAGGCAGUGCAGUAAAGUAGGAGUGUGGAAUUGGAAGAUGGACUGCCUCAGGAUGAAACCUAACUGCCACUUCCUGGUGUUGUGAACUUGGGCAAGUUCUGAGUUCUUCAUCUCUAAAAUACAGAUUCAGGAAAUAAUCGUACCUUUCUCAUUACAGGUGCUGGGAGAAUCAAACAGUUUAAUAUAUGUAAAAUGCUUAGAUUUGGACCUUAAUACUAAUUUACUACACCAUUCACUCUGAUAUAGACUGAAACCCAGGAUAAUUAAAGUAUCAUAUACUUGGUGGAAGUUAAAUGUUUAUAUAAAAUGGAUACCAAAUGGAAAUAAAAUGUUUCUCCAUUUUGUGCAUUCACAGUGAUCCCAACAUCUUGCAUCUUCUUUUAUAAUAAAUAUAUUUCCUAGGCUAAUUUUCAGACCUUGAAGCCUUGGAGACCACUGAAAUUAAUAAAUUUGUUGUAGCUCCAAAAGUCUCUUAGCUGAUCAUUACGUUGGCUGGCUGCAAUAGGGAAAGGGCCAUUGCUGAUACUUGUGUAUUUACCAAUCUUGUUUAAUCACAAUGAAAGAAGAUGAAGGUGUCAUGGAAAGUGGAUUUUGUGUAAUGCUAUAUCAACUGAAGUGACUUCCAUAAGCCUUCACAGGUGUUCACAGGAAUCAGACAUUAGAAAAAUCCCUCCUAAUCCAAGAUUUGGAAUAUACUUCUUGUAUUCAACUGGUACUUGUUGUGAAGUAAAUUAUUGGCCCUAAUAAUUACCUACCUACAUCCAUGCUCAUUGCCCUGUAACUGCAAGUUCUCCCACUCAAGUCUACUCCCCUGUCAGUCACUUUUCUUUGGGCUUGACCAUUUGAUGUACUUUGACAAUGCAUGUGGAUGGAAGUGCUAAUGUGACAUUUCUCAGCCUAGCCUUUCGUCUUGCUCAAUUGCCACUGCCAUGAGAGGAGCUUCCACUGAGAAGCUACUAUCCCCCAAGUCUGGUUCUCAGAAUAUGCACAUGUGGAAGAGAAGAAAGCCUGACUUUUAGCAAGAAGCCUAUUCCUGUGGUAUGUGCAACCUCAGCAGAGCUUUUCAUUAAAGUCAAGUCCAGUCCAAAUCAGCUGAUCCUUGAGUGACCUGCAUAUAUCUGAGAAAUAUUAUUGUUGUAUGCCACUGAUAGAUAUUUUGUGAUUGAUUAUCUAUCUGUCACAUAACAAAAGCUGACUGACAUACAUGUAGUUUCAGGAUUAUCAAAAAGGCAUUAUCUUUUCAAAAAUGCUAGAAAUAAUUCCAAAGAUAAUUGUUUGUGCCAGAUGACAUAAUUGUAUAUACAUUGUAGAUGGAAUUAUCAAGAUUACUUUUAAUGCCAACGACAUUUAGGAAUGCUAAUUAACUUAUGAAACACCAUCACAUAUCAUUAAUAAAGGAAAUUUAUAUUUUGUGUUCCCUAAAUGGCACUAUAGGAAAUGUAACAUAUGCUCAUUAAGUUUGCGGUUAUGAUUUUAAUCAUUGAAAUGAAGUCAAUGAAAUUGUAUAACUGAAAAAUUCCACCAAAUAACUAUAAAUUUCACUUUUAGAUGGAUAUUAGAAUUUAUAAAAUAUGUCUAGUGACUUAAUUGUAUACUAUUUAACAAUUACAAGACUAUUAUAACAUAUUUAAUUAACAGAAUUGAAACAAGUAUUUGUUGAAAAACAAAGAACAUUUUAAACAA
rnacentral:lncRNA from 10 species